GUAGGGAAUCUUCCGCAAUGGACGCAAGUCUGACGGAGCAACGCCGCGUGAGUGAAGAAGGGUUUCGGCUCGUAAAACUCUGUUGUUAAGGAAGAACACUUUAGGUAGUAACUGGCCUAGAGAUGACGGUACUUAACCAGAAAGCCACGGCUAACUACGUGCCAGCAGCCGCGGUAAUACGUAGGUGGCAAGCGUUAUCCGGAAUUAUUGGGCGUAAAGCGCGCGUAGGCGGUAGAAUAAGUCUGAUGUGAAAGCCCCCGGCUCAACCGGGGAGGGUCAUUGGAAACUGUUUUACUUGAGUGCAGAAGAGGAGAGUGGAAUUCCAUGUGUAGCGGUGAAAUGCGCAGAGAUAUGGAGGAACACCAGUGGCGAAGGCGGCUCUCUGGUCUGUAACUGACGCUGAGGUGCGAAAGCGUGGGGAUCAAACAGGAUUAGAAACCCUAGUAGUCC
rnacentral:rRNA from 1 species